rnacentral:rRNA from 1 species
GACGAACGCUGGCGGCGUGCCUAAUACAUGCAAGUCGAGCGAAUCAAUGGGAGCUUGCUCCCUGAGAUUAGCGGCGGACGGGUGAGUAACACGUGGGUAACCUGCCUGUAAGACUGGGAUAACUUCGGGAAACCGGAGCUAAUACCGGAUAAUUUCUUUUCUCGCAUGAGAAGAGAUGGAAAGAUGGUUUCGGCUAUCACUUACAGAUGGACCCGCGGCGCAUUAGCUAGUUGGUGAGGUAACGGCUCACCAAGGCCACGAUGCGUAGCCGACCUGAGAGGGUGAUCGGCCACACUGGGACUGAGACACGGCCCAGACUCCUACGGGAGGCAGCAGUAGGGAAUCUUCCGCAAUGGACGAAAGUCUGACGGAGCAACGCCGCGUGAGCGAAGAAGGCCUUCGGGUCGUAAAGCUCUGUUGUUAGGGAAGAACAAGUACGAGAGUAACUGCUCGUACCUUGACGGUACCUAACCAGAAAGCCACGGCUAACUACGUGCCAGCAGCCGCGGUAAUACGUAGGUGGCAAGCGUUGUCCGGAAUUAUUGGGCGUAAAGCGCGCGCAGGUGGUUCCUUAAGUCUGAUGUGAAGC